rnacentral:rRNA from 1 species
GUACACGCUGUGACUAGCAUAUCAAUAAGCGGAGGAAAAGAAACUAACAAGGAUUCCCCUAGUAACGGCGAGUGAAGCGGGAAGAGCUCAAAUUUGAAAUCUUAAAGGGUUUCCCUUUACGAAUUGUAGUUUAAAGAAGUGUUUUCUGUUGAGGUUUUGGUAAAAGUUCUUUGGAAUAGGACAUCAUAGAGGGUGAGAAUCCCGUAUUUGACCUUUACUUUCAACUUUGUGAUACACUUUCAAAGAGUCGGAUUGUUUGGGAAUGCAGUCCAAAAUGGGUGGUAAAUUUCAUCUAAAGCUAAAUAUUGGCGAGAGACCGAUAGCGAACAAGUACCGUGAGGGAAAGAUGAAAAGAACUUUGAAAAGAGAGUUAAACAGUACGUGAAAUUGUCAAAAGGGAAGCGUUUGACACCAGUGUUGUUUUUCUGAAAAUCAAUUAAAGAACUGUUUAUGCUAAGCUGUUUAGACUUUAUCAGCUAUCUGUUUAGUUUUGAGCUUUUCUUUAAUGCACUUUUCAGUUAACAAGUCAACAUCAAUUUCUUUUGCUGUAAAAAAGCUUGAGGAAGGUGGCUUGAGAUUCGUCUUAAGUGUUUAUAGCCUCUUGCCUAUGCAGUCGGAGAGAUUGAGGUCUGCAGCGUAGAUCCUUCGGGGCUAAAUGCAUUUGUGCUAAGUUAUAGCAUUUUAUAGACAACUUGUUGACUAUGAUUUGUCUUGUAGCUUACUCGCUUAUGUUAUUUUACCUACGCUUAGGAUGUUGACUGAUAUGUAGUCGU